rnacentral:rRNA from 1 species
UACGUAGGGGGGCAAGCGUUGUCCGGAAUCAUUGGGCGUAAAGAGCUCGUAGGCGGCCUGUUGCGUCCGCUGUGAAAUCCCCGGGGCUCAACCCCGGGCUUGCAGUGGAUACGGGCUGGCGUAGAGGCAGGCAGGGGGAGAACGGAAUUCCCCGGGUGUAGCGGGUGAAAUGCGGCAGAGUAUCAGGAGGAACAGCCGAGUGGCGAAGGCAGGUCUCCUGGGCCGGAUGACUGACGCUGGAGG